rnacentral:rRNA from 1 species
GAUGAACGCUAGCGGCAGGCUUAAUACAUGCAAGUCGAGGGGCAGCAUGAUUGUAGCAAUACAAUUGAUGGCGACCGGCAAACGGGUGCGGAACACGUACACAACCUCCCAAUAAGUGGGGAAUAGCCCAGAGAAAUUUGGAUUAAUACCCCGUAACAUAACGAUGUGGCAUCACAUUGUUAUUAUAGAUUUUUCGCUUAUUGAUGGGUGUGCGGCUGAUUAGAUAGUUGGCGGGGUAACGGCCCACCAAGUCUACGAUCAGUAGCUGAUGUGAGAGCAUGAUCAGCCACACGGGCACUGAGACACGGGCCCGACUCCUACGGGAGGAAGCAGUAAGGAAUAUUGGACAAUGGACGCAAGUCUGAUCCAGCCAUGCCGCGUGAAGGAUUAGGGUCCUCUGGAUUGUAAACUUCUUUUAUAAGGGACGAAAAAAGGCUUUUCUAGAUCGUCUGACGGUACCUUAUGAAUAAGCACCGGCUAACUCCGUGCCAGCCGCCGCCGUAAUAC